CAACAGCAGAGACCUGCAGAUGAGAACACCUUUAUGAAGAGCAAGACCAUGCUUUGAAGUUGGGCAGAGAUCUUGGUUCAAAUCCUGGCUCUGCCGCUUGUUAGCUAAGUCACUUCAGGGCUUGUUUCUGAGAGUGUGCACGGAGAUUGAAGGGCAGGGGCUCAUGUGACAGUGUGAAGCAGGAAUUCUGACCGUUGGCCAAACCAAGCCCUGAAACUCAAGUUCUGUUUGGGAGUGAGAGGCAGAAAGCCUUGGAGGCAGCUUCAAUUAGAAGCUAAUUUUACUAAUUAGAAAAUUGGUAUCAGAAGGACGAUUGAACGUGUCCAACGUCACACAGCCAUUUUUUCCAAAGGCUUUUUAAGAAGAGGACUUUGGAGUUGUAAAGAAUUUAGAUACGUGGAAAUGAGAGAAAGGCCUUCCAGGCAGAGGAAACAGGAUGAACAAAGUCUUGGCAGAGAUGGGAUCUCACCAUAUUGCCCACACUGGUCUCGAACUCCCAGGUUCAAACCAUCCUCCUGACUCAGCCUCCCAAAGUGCUGCGACUAUAGGCGUGAGUCAUGGCACCUGGCCUGGAGCGCCUUUUCUAUGGAAACCAGAAGACCCCUAAAACUCAUCUUUCUUUUUGCCUGAGGGAUUAUCCCAUUGUGAUGACCUUGACUUUGAAGAUCUCUUGGGGCUGCCUGUAGGUGGAUAUGUUCAUGGAAGACGGUGAAAAAGACAAGAAUAGGAUUUGCUGUAUAGAAUCACUAUAGUCACCAUCACACUGAGUAUCAACAACAUCUCUUGUUAUCCUCACAACUGUGCAAAACAGAUAUCCGACAGAGAGAAAGAGAAUGUGAUUGACUCUUAACUAGAGUCACGCACCACUCUGGAUCAAUCAUCUGAGGCCUGGGAGAAGUGUCAUAACACAGGCAAACGAAGAGGAUAAAUAAAGAAUGAGUGUCCCCCAGACCAUCUGGAAACCCCACCUGUGCAUCUUAAAUAAGGAAGGACCAAGCAGAUAUCAGAAAGAGGGAUGUUGGGGGAACAAGAAACUAACCAGCCUGCAGGAGUCGCUGGAGGCCAAAGACAAAUAUUUUCGCCGAGGAGAAUUUGGAAAAUUUCGCAGUAUAUAAAAAAAGAAAAUUAAAAGUCUCCAUCAUACCAUCUAUCAGCAA
rnacentral:lncRNA from 10 species